CUUAGCCUGCCUAUACCUCCUCCUCCAUCCGUCCCUCCAAACGGGGGGGCUGAGCGGGGUGGGAGGGAGGGGAGGGAGGGCGGGGCUGGGGAGGGAGGGAGG
rnacentral:miRNA from 10 species